rnacentral:rRNA from 1 species
CGUACGCACUGGCCCAACUGAUUGAUGGUGCUUGCACCUGAUUGACGAUGGAUCACCAGUGAGUGGCGGACGGGUGAGUAACACGUAGGUAACCUGCCCCGGAGCGGGGGAUAACAUUUGGAAACAGAUGCUAAUACCGCAUAACAACAAAAGCCACAUGGCUUUUGUUUGAAAGAUGGCUUUGGCUAUCACUCUGGGAUGGACCUGCGGUGCAUUAGCUAGUUGGUAAGGUAACGGCUUACCAAGGCGAUGAUGCAUAGCCGAGUUGAGAGACUGAUCGGCCACAAUGGAACUGAGACACGGUCCAUACUCCUACGGGAGGCAGCAGUAGGGAAUCUUCCACAAUGGGCGCAAGCCUGAUGGAGCAACACCGCGUGAGUGAAGAAGGGUUUCGGCUCGUAAAGCUCUGUUGUUGGAGAAGAACGUGCGUGAGAGUAACUGUUCACGCAGUGACGGUAUCCAACCAGAAAGUCACGGCUAACUACGUGCCAGCAGCCGCGGUAAUACGUAGGUGGCAAGCGUUAUCCGGAUUUAUUGGGCGUAAAGCGAGCGCAGGCGGUUGCUUAGGUCUGAUGUGAAAGCCUUCGGCUUAACCGAAGAAGUGCAUCGGAAACCGGGCGACUUGAGUGCAGAAGAGGACAGUGGAACUCCAUGUGUAGCGGUGGAAUGCGUAGAUAUAUGGAAGAACACCAGUGGCGAAGGCGGCUGUCUGGUCUGCAACUGACGCUGAGGCUCGAAAGCAUGGGUAGCGAACAGGAUUAGAUACCCUGGUAGUCCAUGCCGUAAACGAUGAGUGCUAGGUGUUGGAGGGUUUCCGCCCUUCAGUGCCGGAGCUAACGCAUUAAGCACUCCGCCUGGGGAGUACGACCGCAAGGUUGAAACUCAAAGGAAUUGACGGGGGCCCGCACAAGCGGUGGAGCAUGUGGUUUAAUUCGAAGCUACGCGAAGAACCUUACCAGGUCUUGACAUCUUGCGCUAACCUUAGAGAUAAGGCGUUCCCUUCGGGGACGCAAUGACAGGUGGUGCAUGGUCGUCGUCAGCUCGUGUCGUGAGAUGUUGGGUUAAGUCCCGCAACGAGCGCAACCCUUGUUACUAGUUGCCAGCAUUAAGUUGGGCACUCUAGUGAGACUGCCGGUGACAAACCGGAGGAAGGUGGGGACGACGUCAGAUCAUCAUGCCCCUUAUGACCUGGGCUACACACGUGCUACAAUGGACGGUACAACGAGUCGCAAGCUCGCGAGAGUAAGCUAAUCUCUUAAAGCCGUUCUCAGUUCGGACUGUAGGCUGCAACUCGCCUACACGAAGUCGGAAUCGCUAGUAAUCGCGGAUCAGCAUGCCGCGGUGAAUACGUUCCCGGGCCUUGUACACACCGCCCGUCACACCAUGGGAGUUUGUAACGCCCAAAGUCGG